UACAGAGGGUGCGAGCGUUGUUCGGAAUUACUGGGCGUAAAGCGUGCGCAGGCGGUUUUGUAAGCCCAGAUGUGAAAGCCCCGGGCUUAACCUGGGAAUGGCAUUUGGGACUGCAAGGCUUGAGUGCGGCAGAGGAGACUGGAAUUCCUGGUGUAGCAGUGAAAUGCGUAGAUAUCAGGAGGGAUACCGAUGGCGAAGGCAGGUCUCUGGGCUGACACUGACGCUCAUGCACGAAAGCGUGGGGAGCAAACAGG
rnacentral:rRNA from 1 species